rnacentral:tRNA from 1 species
GGGUCGUGGCUCAGUGGUAGAGUGCUUGCCUAGCAUACGUGAGGUCCUGAGUUUCGAUUCUCAGCCCCA